CGUAGGAUCCGAGCGUUGUCCGGAUUUACUGGGUGUAAAGGGUGCGCAGGCGGACUGGUAAGUCAGUGGUGAAAUCUCGUCGCUUAACGACGAAACUGCCUUUGAUACUAUCAGUCUUGAGUCCGGUAGAGAUCUGUGGAAUUCCGAGUGUAGCAGUGAAAUGUGUAGAUAUUCGGAAGAACACCAGUGGCGAAGGCAGCAGAUUGGGCCGGUACUGACGCUCAUGCACGAAAGCGUGGGGAUCAAACAGGAUUAGAUACCCUAGUAGUCCACGCCCUAAACGAUGUACACUUGAUGUCGGCCUGUAAGGGUCGGUGUCGGAGCUAACGCGUUAAGUGUACCACCUGGGGAGUACGCUCGCAAGGGUG
rnacentral:rRNA from 1 species